UGAAUUACGCGGACCUCAGCAGAAUUUCGCGGCCGCGCUUGGAAUUUUGCGGAUCGCAUAAUUCUACCACGGCCGCACUCUGGGGAAAUGUUCUGCAAAUCCAGUGGUACGACUUAGGAAUCCUAUAUCUUUUGAUCUACAAGGAAUUUUGAGAGGAUUCAAAAACGAAAGUUGUUGCCCUUCGUGUCUAGUUUCGAGAAGUCAUCAUUUGGAUAUCUGUAGAGAAAGUUAUGGUCAAAAUACUAAAGUCUGGCAGUGCAGCUACCAAAAGUGCGACCACACUAUUUUUUUUGCGACUACGGGACCUGGGGCGCGGCCGCGCUCGGAAUUUCGUGGACCGCGAAGUGGGAGACCAUAGGUGCACUUUAUAAACGGGAUUUAGGGCAUUAUUUCAUAUUUUGGACCUAGAGAGCUCGGUUUGUGGCAAUUUUUCGUGGAUUUUUCAAGAAAUUCAUCGGGGUAAGUGAUUCUAACUUGAAUUUGGUUAAUAUACAUGAAUAUAUCAAUGAUUUCAUCAUCUGAUAAGUACUUUGAGGUGAAAAUUUGGGAAAAAUUGUAGCAACUUCAUAAAAUGAAUUUUCGGUAUUUGAAUGUCGAUUCAAAGUCGGAUUUGAGUGAAACUAGUAUGGUUGGACUCGUGAGUGAAUGGAUGUUCAUAAUUUGUGACUUUUACCUGAUUCCGAGUCGUGGGCCCGGGGGUCGGGUUUGAGCCAAUUUUGGAAUUUUGGUCUGAAUUGGUAGUUUUUCUUGUGGAAUUUAUUCCAUUAGCAUAUAAUGAUAGUAUUGUACUGAUUGUGAAUAGAUUCGGAGCAUUUGGAGGCCGAGUCGAGAGGCAAGAGCAUCACGGGGUAGAGAUUUGACCGUUUUGAGGUAAGUAACGAUUGUAAAUCUAGUCCUGAGGGUAUGAAACCCCAGAUUUCAUAUCAUUCUACCAUUUUGAGGUGACGCACAUGCUAGGUGACAGGCGUGUGGGCGUGCACCGUUGGGGAUCGUGACUUGGUCCGUCCCGUAGCAACGGUAAAGUUGCAUAUUUAUUUGAAACUAUAUAAUACUUAGAUGUUUUAGAAAGAGUUUCUAUAAAUUGGGGUGAAUACCAUGUUUGGGCCUUGUGCCAGUGUUGUUUGGACCCUUAGGAGCCUUUUCUUACUAUCCUAUCGCUAUUUUCGAUUUAAAAUCUAUACUCAGUCAUGGUUAUACCUGUUUACUGCAUAACUCAAUUUUUCUUACUUUAUUUUGAUGCAUAUAAAUGUUGUUUUGGGCUGAGUACCCUGUUUUUACUGAAAUGCCCGAGUGGCUUGAGAGGUUUAUGACUGAGCGAGGCCGAGAGCCUCAUUUUUGAGGAUAUUUAUGGGAUCGGGCUGCACGUCGCAGCAUGUUUGAUAUAGGCCGAGGGCCUUAGUGAUUUAUGCCAUGAUUUGGCUUGAUAUAGCGCUUGGGCUGAAGGAGCCCCUCCGGAGUCUGUACACACCCCCAGUGAGCGCAGGUACCUACUGAGUGCGAGUGCUAAAUGACUGGGAGGCAGGAUUGAUUGUGAGGUAUUCCCGAGAUGCAUGAGUGAUUGUGAGGUUUGCUCGAGGGGUUGUCUAUGAGUGAUGUUAUGCCCGAGGGGUUGUUUAUGAUUUCAUCAUUUUUUCUUACCUUUGCAUUUGAGCCUUUGUUUGAAACUGUUGAAAAAUAUCUUUAAAUGACUUUUAUUGGAACUAGGUUUUAAACGAGAUGAUUUGAUUCAAACACUAAUUUUUAAAGCAUGUUGUAUUUUACCGAGAUUUCAUGAUAUGAACUUUAUAUGCUUUGUUGCUCGUCACUACUGUUACUUACUGAGUUGGCGUACUCACGUUACUCCCUGUAUCUUGUGUACAGAUCCAGGUGUAGAUGGACACGGUAGCCGUUGUUGAUUAUUCUGGUUGUAAAUUUUCUCGGGGAUAGCAAGGUAGCUGCCUGGUGAUCGUAGCCCUGCUCUUCUCCCUUCUAUCUUCCUUUAGUUGUAUUUAGCUAUUUUUCAGACUAUGUUAGUCUUGAUAUUAUCAGACAAAUUUCAGUAUAUGCUCAUGACUAGUGGCACCCCAAUGUCGGAAAUUUCUUUUUCCGCACUUUUGUUUUGAUUUGAACUCCUUUACGAAGGUUUUUAUGUUAAAUAGACUUGAAAUUACAUUUGAAAUAAAAAAAAUAUCAGUUGUUUGGGAAAUGAGUCAGAUUGCCUAGUUCCACGAUAGGUGUCAUCACGACAAGGUUAGUUUGGGUCGUGACAUUAUCAUUACCUAACCAUAGAAUACACAAUAAAUCCAAUUUGGAGUUCAUUUCUUCGCUUUUAAGUUAUUUUCCCUAACUAUUUCACAAUUUUGAAAUUAAGUGAAAAAAGAAAUCUUACCAUUGCCUUGGCAGAAUCAUCAUCCAGUGGUCUACCAUCCAUACGUUUUGUAUGAGUUAAUAUAAAAAUUUGUACUCGUGUAGGCUCUAUCCCAUUUACAUCCUAAUACAAUAAUGUCAGAUAUGUUGUUUCCAGUAGACCCUCCACGAAAGGGUAGAGAGGCAGGGAGGCUUUAAAAAGGCAGAGAGGUUGUUUCUGGUAGACUCUCGACUCAAAAAGGGGAGAGGGGAGGGGCAAUUACAAGCAAACCAAUCUGACAACCAAAGCAAAAAAAAACUAGCAAUAAGAUGGAGAAUCAAGGUAUGCAGUGGUUGUAAGCGCAAAGCACAAUUAAUGCAUUUAGCAAAGAAAGGCACAAAUGACUCGUGAGACCUAUGUAACCUAGGCUCUGAUACCAACUUGUCACGAUCCAAAACCAACAUGUCGUGAUGACGCCUAUCAUGGUACUAGGCAAGCUGACUACGUAGACAUUUCCAAUACUCUAAAGCUUUGAAAGAUACGAAAGCAGUGAAAAUCAAGGAAACCUUUCAAAAAUAGAGUACGAAAUCAUAAUUCAAUACAAAAUCUCUCCCAAAAUCGGGGCGUCACCGAGUACAUGAGCAUCUACAUAAAGAAAUAGUCUAAUACGUCGUCUAGGUAAAAAAAAAACAUAAAUUGAAAGACAAGGAGGGAGAGUCAAGGUCCGCGAACGCCAAACAGCUACCUCAAUAGUCUCCGAAAAUUCGGACUCCACAACUCAGCAACUGCCGUGACCGGAAGCACCUGGAUCUGCACACGAGGUGCAGGGUGUAGCUUGAGUACAACCAACUGAAUAAGUAACAAAUCUAACCUUUGGGUUGAAAGUUAGUGACGAACUCUUCAGGUACAGUUCAAUAUAGAAAUAACAGUGCAGAAAUAUAGGCAUGCUUUCAAGUUCAACAGUUAAAUUCAAUUCAAGUAAAAAUAGAUCAAUUCUGAAUGAUAUGAGGAGUAUGACCUCUCUACAUCUACAUUACCAAUGCAUAUGCUAUAUGUGAUGCACCACGCUGAAAGUCUCGUGUACGUGACUCUCAAAAUACUCAAUCACUCAGUAUUGUAUAAGGCUAAUCCAGCCCAGGGGAAGAUCCAUCCCCAAAUAUAAAUGAUUCAGACAAGGUCCAUGUCCAGGGAAGAUCCAUCCCUCAUUAUAAUCAACUGCGCUCACUGGGAGUGUGUGCAGACUCAAUAGGGGCUCUUUCAGCCCAAGCGCUAUAAUAAGCCAGAUCCAAGCAUAAAUCGAUAAACAUGCUGCAGCGUGUAGCCCGAUCCCAUAAUUGACACUCUCAAUCAGUCCCUCGGCCUCACUCAGUCAUCAAUCUCUCCAGUCUCUCUCUCUCGGGCUCACAAUACGGUGAAACUAGCCCAAAAAUGAUUAUAUGAUACAACAAUAAAUAACAACGGAGACUGAGAUACGAUAUGCAAUAAUAAAUAUAACUGAGUACAAAAUUUCAAUGUAAUCAAUAAGUCAACAGCAAUCAACCAGGUCACAGUUCGUACGGUGCACGCCCACACACCCGUCACUUGGCAUGUGCGUCACCUCACAACCAACCAUAUAACACAUAACUCGGGGUUUCGAACCCUCAAGGCCAAGUUUAGAAGUGUUACUUACCUCAAUCCAGGAAAAUAUCUACUCCAACACAUAUUUGCCUCGCAAAACGACCUCAUAAUUCCUCGAAUCUAGCCACAAACAAUGCGAUACAAUCAACACAUGCUAAAGGAAUAAAUUCCAUAAUGAAACACUAAGUUAUUAAUCAAAAGUCAAAAAUCGACUCAAAAGCUGGCCCCCAGGCUCAAGUAUCGAAAUUCGAUAAAAAUCACAAAAUCCGAAAGCCCAUUCAACCACGAGUCCAACCAUACCAAAUUAACCACAAUUCGACACUAAAUCACCUCCAAAAUCCCCAAAUCAAACUCUCCAAAUCCCUAACCUCGAACGCUUAAAUUCCACCUUAAAUACACACAAAAUAAGUGGGAAAUGCAAUGGGGAAACAAGAUUAUUGAUAAAAAAUAAGCACAAGGGACUCAAGAAACCCCUCAACACUCCUCUCAUGAUUUGCCCAAACCCGAGUAUGAAAUGUUCAAAAUGAAUAAAACUCGCGAACCCUUGAAUUUAAACAUUCUGCCCAGCCUUUCCGCUUCUACGGCAUCGCAGAAGCGACCAAACUUCCUGUAACGGCCCGGCCGGUCGUUUCUGGAGUUAUAGCCACGUUUCCCCUAUUCCUGCUUCUUUAUGUGUUAUUUAGUUGUAUUGUGUUGUAUCAGGUUGGUUGGUUCGGGUCCGGAGUGGUUUCAGAGUAGAAUGAGACACAUAGUCUCUUAUUUAGAACCUUAAGUUGAAAAGGUCAACUAGAUGUUGACUUAUGUGUAAACGAUCUCAAAUUUGAAUUUUCAUGGUUCCAGUAGCUCCGUUAGGUAAUUUUGGACUUAGGAAUGCGUCCGGAAUGUGAUUUGGAGGUCCGUGGUUGAAUUGGGCUUGAAUUGGCAAAGUUGGAAAUUUGGCGAUUUCGGUCGGUAGUGAAAAAUUUCAUAUCGGGGUCAGAAUGGAAUUUCAGAAGUUGGAGUAGGUUCGUAGUUUCAUUUGUGACGUGUGUGUACAAAAUUUGAGGUCAUUCGGACGUGGUUUGGUUGGUUUCGGCAUCAGUUGCCGAAUUUGGAAAUUUAGAAGUUCUUAGGCUUGAAUCCGAGGGUAAUUUGGUGUUUGGAUGUUGUUUUUAGUGAUUCGAAGGUUUGACUAAGUUUGUAUGUUGAUAUAUGAGUUGUUGGUAUUUUUGGUUUAGGUCCCGAGGGCCUCGGGGUGAUUCCGGGUGGUAAACGGAUUUGUCGAAGUUGAAAAAUGCAGCUGAAGCUGCUGCUUCUGCAAUUUCCGCACCUGCGGGAGGAAGAGUCACAGGUGCGAAGCCGCUGGUGCGCAUGGGAAGUCCGCAGGAGCGGGCAGUGCUGGGCUAGGAAGAAUGCCCAGGUGCGAGUUGGAGGUUGCAUCUGCGAACCCGCAAGUGCGAAACCUGGGGCGCAGAUGCGGAAAGGGGGACGCUGGGCAGGUUUCAUAGAAGCGGAGGAAACGCGCAGGUGCGCCUUCGCAGGCGGGAGAUUUUGGGCCGCAGAUGUGGAACCUGGGCUCCUAAGUGAGUUCCGCACCUACGAUGGAUUUUCCGCAGGUGCGGUGGCACAAAAGCGUGAAAUUUGUCCACAGGUGCGAAAAGCCUUGGCAGAAACCAUAAAUAGAACCCUUCGCGAAUUUGGUUCAUUUCCACCAUUUUAAGUCAAUUUUUGGAGUGAUUUUUGAAUGGUGAUUCAAGGGCUAUUAGUGAGGUAAGUUGCUUGAUCCCUAAUACUCGUAUGUAUGGUGAGUUUUCGUUGUUUAAUCAUGUAAUUAGUAAAAAUGAGGGGUUAGGGCUUGGGAUUUUGGAGAGUUUAAUUUAAGGAUUUGAGGGAACGAACGAUGUCGGAUUUUGACAAAUUUCAUAUGUAUGGACUCGUGAGUGGAUGAGCUUCCUAGUUUAAUAAUUUUUGUCGGAUUUUGAGACGUGGGCCCGGGGGGCCGGUUGAGCCAAUUUCGGGUUUUGGGCUAAUUUGAUAGUUUUUCCAGUGGAAUUCAUUCCAUUAGCGUAUAUUGAUGGUAUUGUACUGAUUGUGAAUAGAUACUGAGCAUUUGGAGGCCGAGUCAAGAGGCAAGAGGAUUGCGGGGUAGAGAUUUGACCGGUUUGAGGUAAGUAACGAUCGUAAAUCUAGUCCUGAGGGUAUGAAACCUCGGAAUUCGUAUCAUUUUACUAUUUUGAGUUGACGCACAUGCUAGGUGACAGAUGUGUGGGCGUGCACCAUUGGGGAUCGUGACUUGGUCCGUCCCGUAGCAACUGUAAAGUUGCAUAUUUAUUUGAAACUAUAUAAUACUUAGAUGUUUUAGAAACAGUUUCUGUAAAUUGGGGUGAAUGCCAUGUUUGGGCCUUGUGCCAGUGUUGUUUGGACCCUUAGGAGCCUUUUCUUACUAUCCUAUCGCUGUUUUCGAUUUAAAAUCUAUACUCAGUCAUGGUUUCACCUGUUUACUGUAUAACUCAGCUUUUCUUACUCUAUUUUGAUGCAUAUAAAUGUUGUUUUGGGCUGAGUACCUUGUUUUUACUAAAAUGCCCGAGUGGCUUGAGACGUUUAUGACUGAGCGAGGCCGAGGGCCUGAUUUGUGAGGAUAUUUAUGGGAUCGGGCUACACGCCGCAUCAUGUUUUAUAUAGGCCGAGGGCCAGAGUGAUUUAUGCCAUGAUUUGGCUUACUAUAGCACUUGGGCUGAAGGAGCCCCUUCGGAGUCUGUACACACCCUAGUGAGCGCAUGUACCUACUGAGUGCGAGUGCCGAGUGUCGAGUGCUGAGUGACUAGGAGGCAUGAGUGAUUCUGAGGUAUGCCCGAGUGGAAUGAGUGAUUGUGAGGUAUGGCUGAGUGGCAUGAGUGACUGUGAGGUAUGCCCGAGAGGCAUGAGUGACUGUGAGGUUUUCCCGAGUGGCAAGAGUGAUUGUGAGGUAUGCCCGAGAGGCAUGAGUGACUGUGAGGUUUUCCCGAGGGGGUGUAUAUGAGUGAUGUUUUGCCCGAGGGGCUGUUUAUGAUUUCAUCAUUUGUUUCUCACCUUUGCAUUUAGCCUCUGUUUGAAAACUGUUGAAAAAUAUCUUUAAAUGAUUUUAUUGGAACUGGGUUUAAACGAGAUGUUUUGAUUUAAAUCCUGAUUUUAAAAGCAUGUGGUAUUUUAUUGAGAUUUUAUGAUAUUAACUUUUUAUUCUUUAUUGCACGUCACUACUACUCAGUCUUUAUUUAUUAUUGUUACUUACGGAGUUGACGUACUCACAUUACUCCUUGCACCUUGUGUGCAGAUCCUGGUGUAGCUGGGCACGGUAGCGGUUGUUGAUUAUUCUGGUGUAGCUGUGCCCGCACUUUUGUUUUGAUUUGAACUCCUUUACGAAGGUAUUUAUGUUAAAUAGUAUUGAAAUCAUCUUUGAAAUGAAGAUAGAAAUGAAUCGUCUUGCCUAGUUCCAUGAUAGGUGCCAUAACGACAGGGGUUAGUUUGGGUAGUGGCAGAUUGGUAUUAGAACCUAGGUUACAUAGGUCUCACUAGUCAUGAGCGGGUUUAGUAGAGUGUUGCGGAUUGGUACGGAGACAUCUGUACGUAUCUUCGAGAGGCUGCAGAACCUUUAGGAAAAUUCCACAUUCUUGAAUUCUUGCCAUGCGAAUCUGAUGAUUCUAGUAACUAAACAACUGUUGUUUCAUUCUCUCACAGAUGGUGAGGACUCGUACUACCGGACAAGAGGGCCAGCCACCAGUACCACCAGCCAGGGCCCCGAGAGGCCGAGGCCGUGGUAGGGGAAGAGAUGCAGCCCGUACAGCAACUGGGGUAGUACGUGCAGAUCCACCAGUUGUCCCAGGUCAGGACCAGGUUCCAGUUGUUGAUGCACCAGCUCAAGCACCACCUGUGCCUAUUGUGAUUCCAGACCCUAAGGAGGCCCUAGAUCAGAUUCUAACAGCGUGUACCGACCUUGCUCAGGCGGUCUCUAUCUCGACGGCCGCAACCACUUCUCAGGCUAGGGGAGGCACUUAGAUUCCCAUCGCUCGUACACCCGGGCAGGUUGUUCAGGGACUUCAGACAUUGGAGGCACCACCAGCCCAGCCGGUUGCAGCUGCACAUGAUUAUGUGGUUCCUGUUAUGCCUGAGGAUGAUCAGCGUAGGUUGGAGAGGUUUGGCAAACUCUAGCCACCACCAUUCAAUGGCAUAGAGAGAUAAGAUGCUCAGGACUUCUUGGACAGGUGUUAGAGGAUACUCCGUACUGCUGGUAUUCUGGAGACUUGUGAGGUCUCAUUCACUACUUUUCAGUUCUCCGGGGCUGCACUCAGAUGGUGGGAGACUUACGAGAGGCGUAGGCCUGUUGGCGUAGCACCCAUUACUUGGCAACAGUUCUCUAUGGUCUUUUUGGAGAAGUUUGUGCCUCGAUCUCGGAGAGAGGAGUUGUGUAGGCAGUUUAAGCGGUUUCGCUAGGGUGAUAUGUCUGUGACACAGUAUGAUAUGCGGUUCUCCGAGUUGGCCCGUCAUGCGAUCUGGUUGGUUCCCACGGACAGGGAGAGGAUCAUGAGGUUUAUUGAUGGUCUCACUUUUCAGCUAUAAUUGCUUAUGACCAGAGAGAGGAUGUCUGGUACUACCUUUGAUGAGGUUGUCGACAUUGCUCGACAGAUUGAGAUGGUUCGCGGUCAGGAAAGGGUUGAGAGGGAGGCAAAGAGGCCUUGUGGACAAGGUAGAUUCAGCGGUGCUCCUUUUGGGGGUCAGUUUCAGCACGGUAGAGGUCGUCAUUUCAGACAGGCUCAGUCAGCUCGACCAUUUCACCGUGGUGCAUCAUCUGGCCAUGGUUCUCAUCAGGGCCACUCAUCACUUAGUACCCUUCCAGCUCAGAGUUCGUCCCGUGCUCCACCAGUUCAGGGCUCCUCUAUGCUAGGUUCUUCUAGUGGUUAUCCCGGUGCUCGGGGCUCCCUUCAGUUCCCGCCACCAGCACCAGGGAGUUGUUUUGAGUGUGGGGAGUUUGGGCAUAUAUAGAGGCAGUGUCCUCAUCAUCAUGGAGGUCUAUCUCAACAGAGGAGUUAGCCUUCAACUUCAGCACCAAUUACUUCAUCACCCGCCUAGCCAAUUCAGGGUGGAGGUCAGUCAGCUAGGGGUCGCCCUAGAGGGAGAGGCAGAUCAGGGGUAGCCGGGCCCGUUUUUAUGCCCUCCCUACUAGAACAGAUGCUAUUGCUUUAGAUGUUGUGAUUACAGGUAUUGUCUCAGUUUGUCAAUGAGAUGCCUCCGUAUUAUUCGACCCUGGUUCCACAUAUUCAUAUGUUUCCUCGAAUUUCACCCAUUUUCUAGUUAUGCCUCGUGAGUCUUUAGUUUCAUUUGUUCAUGUAUCUACUCAUGUGGGCGAUACUGUUGUUGUGGACCGCGUAUAUCAAUCAUGUGUGGUGACUAUUGGGGGUCUAGAGACCCAAGUGGACCUUUUGCUGCUCAAUAUAGUUGAACUUGAUGUGAUAUUGGGUAUGGAUUGGUAAUCUCCAUGUCAUGUUGUUCUAGAUUUUCACGCUAGGACGGUGACGUUGGCUAUACCAGGAAUUCCGAGGGUUGAGUGGAGCGGUUCUGUAGAUUAUGUACCAAGUAGGGUGAUUUCAUAUUUGAAGGCUCAGUGCAUGGUUGAGAAGGGUUGCCUAUCUUAUUUGGCUUUUGUGAGGGAUGUUAGUGCAGAGACUCUUGUCAUUGAUUUUGUUCCGGUGGUAUAUGAUUUUCCGGAUGUGUUUCCUGAAGACCUGCCGGGCAUGCCGCCUGACAGGGAUAUUGACUUCGAUAUCAAUUUGGUGCUGGGCACUCAGCCCAUUUCUAUUCCACCGUAUCAUAUGGCACCGACGGAGUUAAAGGAAUUGAAAGAACAACUUCAGGAACUCCUUGAUAAGGGGUUUAUUCGGCCUAGUGUGUCAUCUUGGGGUGCACCGGUUCUAUUUGUGAAUAAGAAGGAUGGUUCCAUGAGAAUGUGUAUUGAUUAUAGGCAGUUGAAGAAGGUCACAUCCAAGAACAAGUAUCCUUUGCCUUGUAUUGAUGAUUUAUUUGAUCAGCUUCAGGGAGCGAGGGUAUUCUCCAAGAUUGAUUUGAGGUCCGGUUAUCACCAUCUGAAGAUUCGGGAUUCAGAUAUUCUUAAGACAGCAUUCAGGACCCGAUAUGGCCAUUAUGAGUUCUUAGUGAUGUCUUUUGGGUUGACCAAUGCCCCAACAACGUUCAUGCAUUUGAUGAACAAUGUAUUUCAGCCCUAUCUAGACUCAUUCGUUGUUGUAUUCAUUGAUGACAUCCUGGUGUACUCUCGUAGCUAGGAGGAGCACUCUCAGCAUUUGAAGAUUGUAUUACAGAGAUUGAGGGAGGAGAAGCUUUAUGCAAAGCUCUCCAAAUGUGAGUUUUGGCUCGAUUCAGUAGCAUUCUUGGGGCAUGUGGUGUCCAGUGAGGGUAUUCAGGUGGAUCCGAAGAAGAUAGAUGUGGUACAGAGUUGGCCUAGACCGUCCUCAACCACGGAGAUUAUGAGUUUCCUAGGUUUGGCAGGUUAUUACCGCCACUUUAUGGAGGGAUUUUCAUCUAUUGCAUCGACCUUGACCAAAUUGACCCAAAAGGGUGCUUCAUUCAGAUGGUUGGACGAGUGUGAGGAGAGCUUUCAGAAGCUCAAGACUGCUUUGACCACAGCUCCAGUGUUAGUUCUGCCAUCAUCUUUAGGUUCUUACACCGUGUAUUCUGAUGUUAUAGGCAUUGGAUGUGUUUUGAUGCAGGAUGGUAAGGUGAUUGCCUAUGCCUCGCGCUAGUUGAAGACCCAUGAAAAGAACUAUCCUGUCCAUGAUCUUGAGUUGACAGCCAUUAUUCAAGCCUUGAAGAUUUGGCGUCAGUAUUUGUAUGGGGUUCAUUGUGAGAUCUAUACUGAUCACUGGAGUCUGCAACACCUGUUCAAGUAGAAAGUUCUUAAUUUGCGUCAGCGGAGAUGGUUGGUGCUUCUUAAGGACUAUAAGAUCAUUAUUUUGUACCAUCCGGGGAAGGCCAAUGUUGUGGCCGAUGCUUUGAGUCGCCGGGCGGAGAGUUUGGGGAGUUUAGCAUAUCUUCCGGCAGCAGAGAGACCUUUGGCAUUAGAUGUUCAGGCCUUAGCGGGCCAUCUUGUGAGAUUUAAUAUUUCGGAGCCGAGUCGGGUGUUGGCUUGCGUGGUCUCUGGCUCUUCUCUUUUUUACCGUAUUAGGGAGUGUCAGUAUGAUGAUCCCCACUUGCUCGUUCUUCAGGACAGGGUUCGGAGAAGUGAUGCUAGGGAUGUGACUAUUCGAGAGUUGAUUCUUGAGGAGCCCCAUAGCUCGCGGUAUUCCAUCCAUCNNNNNNNNNNNNNNNNNNNNNNNNNAUAUAAUUGGGUUUAUGGCUCGGUGUCUCAACUGUUAGCAAGUUAAGUAUGAACAUUAGAGACCGGGUGGCUUGCUUCAGAGAUUAGAAAUCCUAGAAUGAAAGUGGGAGCGGAUCACCAUGGACUUCGUAGUUGGGCUCCCACGGACUUCGAGGAAGUUCGAUGCUAUUUGGGUGAUUGUGAAUCAGUUGAACAAGUCCGCGCACUUCAUUCCAGUUGGUACUACUUACACUUCAGAGCGAUUGGCUGAGUUUUACAUCCGAGAGAUUGUUCGCCUGCUUGGUGUCCUAGUUUCCAUCAUUUCAGAUAGGUGUACUCAGUUUACAUCGCAGUUUUGGAGGGCCGUGCAGCGAGAGUUGGGUACUUAGGUUGAGUUUAGCACAGCUUUUCAUCCUCAGAUGGACCGGCAGUCCGAGCGCACUAUUCAGAUAUUGGAGGACAUGUUGCGCGCUUGUUUCAUUGACUUUGGGGGUUCAUGGGACCAGUUUCUGCCACUCGCGGAGUUUGCAUAUAACAACAGUUAUUAGUCGAGUAUUCAGAUGGCUCCGUACGAGGCUUUAUAUGGGAGGGGGUAUAGAUCUCUGGUUGGAUGGUUUGAGCUGGGUGAGGCUAGGCUCUUGGGUACAAACUUGGUCCAGGAUGCAUUUGAUAAGGUGAAAUUGAUUCAGGAGCGGCUUCGCACGGCACAGUCUAGGAAGAAGAUUUAUGCGGAUAGGAAGGUCUGUGAUGUAUCUUUCAUGGUGGGGGAGAAGAUUUUGCUGAAGGUAUCACCCAUGAAGGGUGUUAUGAGGUUUGGGAAGAGGGUCAAGUCGAGCCCCCGGUUCAAUGGGCCUUUUGAGGUGCUUCAGAGGAUACGGGAGGUGGCUUAUAAGCUUGCCUUGCCACCCAGCUUGUCGAGUGUGCGCCUAAUUUUUCAUGUUUCCAUGCUCCGGAAGUAUAUUGGAGAUAUGUCUCAUGUUUUGGAUUUCAGCACGGUUUAGUUGGAGGGUGAUAUGACUUAUGAUAUGGAGCCGCUGGCUAUUUUGGAUCGGCAAGUUCGGAAGUUGAGGUCAAAGGAUAUAGCUACGGUGAAGGUGUAGUGGCGAGGUCAGCAUGUGGAGGAGGCCACCUGGGAGACCGAGCAGGAGAUGCGGAGCAGAUAUCCAUGCAUAUUCGAGACUCCAGGUAUGUUUCUAGAUCCGUUCAAGAAUGAACGGUUGUUUAAGAGGGGGAGGAUAUAACGACCCGACCGGUUGUUUCGGGAGUUAUAGUCCCGUUUCCCCCAUUUCUGCUUCUUUAUGUGUUAUUUUAGCUGUUUUGUGUUGUAUCGGGUUGGUUGGUUAGGGUCCGGAGUGGUUUCGGAGUGGAAUGAGACACUUAGUCUCUUAUUUAGAACCUUAAGUUGGAAAAGGCAACCGGAUGUUUUCCUAUGUGUAAACGAUCUCGGGCUUGAAUUCUGAUGGUUCUUUUAGCUCCGUUAGGUGAUUUUGGACUUAGGAGUGCGUCAGGAAUGUGAUUUGGAGGUCCGUAGUAGAAUUAGGCUUGAAUUAGCGAAGUUGGAAAUUUGGCAAUUUCGGUCGGCACUGGAAAAUUUGAUAUCGGGGUCGGAANNNNNNNNNNNNNNNNNNNNNNNNNNNNNNNNNNNNNNNNNNNNNNNNNNNNNNNNNNNNNNNNNNNNNNNNNNNNNNNNNNNNNNNNNNNNNNNNNNNNNNNNNNNNNNNNNNNNNNNNNNGUAUGUUGAUAUAUAAGUUGUUGGUAUUUUUGGUUGAGGUAUCGAGGGCCUCGGGUGGAUUCCGGGUGGUUAACGGAUUUGUCAAAAUUGGAAAAUGCAGUUGAAGUUGCUGCUUCUACUAUUUCCGCACCUGCGGGAGGAAGAGUCGCAUUAGCGAGGCUGCUGGUGCGCAUGGGAAGUCAGCAGGAGCGGGCAGUGCUGGGCUAGGCAGGAUGUGCAGGUGCGAGUUAGAGGUCGCAUCUGCGAGCCCGCAGGUGCGACACCUGGGGCGCAUAUGCGAAAAGGGGGAUGCUGGGCACGCUUCGCAGAAGCGGAGGAAACGCACAGGUGCGCUUUUGCAGGCGCGGGAGUUUGGGCCGCAGAUGCGGAACCUGGGCUCCUAAGUGAGUUCCGCACCUACAAUGGAUUUUCCGCAUGUGCGGUGGUGCGGAAGUGUAAAAUUUGCCCACAAGUGUGAAAAACCUGAGCAGAAACCAUAAAUAGAACCUUUCGCAAAUUUGGUUCAUUUCCAUCAUUCUCUAGUCGGCGUUUGGAGCUUUUGGAGUGAUAUUUGAAGGGUGAUUCAAGGGCUAUCAAUGAGGUAAGUUGCUUGAGCCCUAAUACUCAUAUGUAUGGUGAUUUUCCGUUGUUUAAUCAUGUAAUUAGUAAAAAUGAGGGGUUAGGACUUGGGAUUUUGGAGAGUUUAAUUUAAGGAUUCGAGGGACCAAAUGAUGUCGGAUUUUGAUAAAUUUUGUAUGUAUGGGCUCGUGAGUGGAUGAGCUUCCUAGUUUUAUAAAUUUUGUAAGAUUUUGAGACGUCGGCCCGAGGGGCGGGUUGAGCCAAUUUCGGGUUUUGGGCUAAUUUGAUAGUUUUUCUUGUGGAAUUCAUUCCAUUAGCAUAUAUUGAUGGUAUUGUACUGAUUGUAAAUAGAUUCGGAGCAUUUGGAGGCCGAGUCAAGAGGCAAGAGAAUUGUGGGGUAGAGAUUUGACCGGUUUGAGGUAAGUAACGAUUGUAAAUCUAGUCCUGAGGGUAUGAAACCCCGGAUUUUGUAUCAUGUUACUAUUUUGAAGCGACGCACAUGCUAGGUGAUGGACGUGUGGGUGUGCACUGCUGGAGAUUGUGACUUGGUCCAUCCCGUAGCAAUUGUGAAGUUGCAUAUUUUGUUGAAACUAUAUGAUACUUAUAUGUUUUAGAAAGAGUUUCUGUAAAUUGGGGUGAAUGCCAUGUUUUGGGCCUUGUGUCAGUGCUGUUUGGACUCUUAGGGGCCUUAUCUUACAAUCCUCUCACUAUUUUUGAUUAAAAAUCUAUACCCAGUCAUGGUUAUACUUGUUUGCUGCAUAACUUAGUUUUAUGAAUCUAUUUUGAUGCAUAUAAAUAUUGUUUUGGGUUGAAUGCCCUGUUUUUACUGAAAUGUCCGAGUGGCUUGAGAGGUUUAUGACUGAGUGAGGCCGAGGGCCUGAUUUGUGAGGAUAUUUAUGGGAUCGGGCUGCACGCCGCAGCAUGUUUUAUAUAGGCCGAGGGCCAAAGUGAUUUAUGCCAUGAUUUGGCUUGCUAUAGCGCUUGGGCUGAAGGAGCCCCUCCGGAGUCUGUACACACCCCAGUGAGCGCAGGUACCUACUAAGUGCGAGUGCCGAGUGACUGGGAGGCAUGAGUGAUUGUGAGGUAUGCCCGAGUGGCAUGAGUGAUUGUGAGGUAUGCCCGAGUAGCAUGAGUGAUUGUGAGGUAUGCCCGAGAGGCAUGCGUGACUGUGAGGUUUGCCCGAGGGGCUGUAUAUGAGUGAUGUUUUGCCCGAGGGACUAU
rnacentral:lncRNA from 1 species